rnacentral:rRNA from 1 species
AGCUAGGCCUGGACUCGCGAAUGCUCUAGAUUAAAGUUUGAUCAUGGCUCAGACUGAACGCUUGCGGCAAGGCCUAACACAUGCAAGUCGAACGGUAACAGGAAGCAGCUUGCUGUUUCGCUGACGAGUGGCGGACGGGUGAGUAAUGUCUGGGAAACUGCCUGAUGGAGGGGGAUAACUACUGGAAACGGUAGCUAAUACCGCAUAACGUCGCAAGACCAAAGAGGGGGACCUUCGGGCCUCUUGCCAUCGGAUGUGCCCAGAUGGGAUUAGCUAGUAGGUGGGGUAACGGCUCACCUAGGCGACGAUCCCUAGCUGGUCUGAGAGGAUGACCAGCCACACUGGAACUGAGACACGGUCCAGACUCCUACGGGAGGCAGCAGUGGGGAAUAUUGCACAAUGGGCGCAAGCCUGAUGCAGCCAUGCCGCGUGUAUGAAGAAGGCCUUCGGGUUGUAAAGUACUUUCAGCGGGGAGGAAGGCGAUAAGGUUAAUAACCUUGUCGAUUGACGUUACCCGCAGAAGAAGCACCGGCUAACUCCGUGCCAGCAGCCGCGGUAAUACGGAGGGUUCAAGCGUUAAUCGGAAUUACUGGGGCGUAAAGCGCACAGGCAGGNGGGCUGUGUCCACAGUCUCCGNAAUUNUGAAAUCCCCGGGGGCUCAAACCUGGGAACUGCNUUCGAAACUGGCACGNUAAAAGUCCUGUAGACGGGGGUGAAUUCAGUUGGUUACGGUGAAUGCGUNAACACUGAGAGAAAACCGGGGGAAAGGGGGCCCCGUAAAG